rnacentral:rRNA from 1 species
UGCGUAGGCGGUCCGGAAAGUUGGGUGUGAAAUCCCUCGGCUCAACCGAGGAACUGCGCUCAAAACUACCGGACUUGAGGGAGACAGAGGUGAGCGGAACUCAGGGUGGAGCGGUGAAAUGCGUUGAUAUCCUGAGGAACACCAGUUGCGAAGGCGGCUCACUGGGUCUUUUCUGACGCUGAGGCACGAAAGCUAGGGGAGCGAAGA